GGGAGCUUGCUCCUGGAUUCAGCGGCGGACGGGUGAGUAAUGCCUAGGAAUCUGCCUGGUAGUGGGGGAUAACGUCCGGAAACGGGCGCUAAUACCGCAUACGUCCUGAGGGAGAAAGUGGGGGAUCUUCGGACCUCACGCUAUCAGAUGAGCCUAGGUCGGAUUAGCUAGUUGGUGGGGUAAAGGCCUACCAAGGCGACGAUCCGUAACUGGUCUGAGAGGAUGAUCAGUCACACUGGAACUGAGACACGGUCCAGACUCCUACGGGAGGCAGCAGUGGGGAAUAUUGGACAAUGGGCGAAAGCCUGAUCCAGCCAUGCCGCGUGUGUGAAGAAGGUCUUCGGAUUGUAAAGCACUUUAAGUUGGGAGGAAGGGCAGUAAGUUAAUACCUUGCUGUUUUGACGUUACCAACAGAAUAAGCACCGGCUAACUUCGUGCCAGCAGCCGCGGUAAUACGAAGGGUGCAAGCGUUAAUCGGAAUUACUGGGCGUAAAGCGCGCGUAGGUGGUUCAGCAAGUUGGAUGUGAAAUCCCCGGGCUCAACCUGGGAACUGCAUCCAAAACUACUGAGCUAGAGUACGGUAGAGGGUGGUGGAAUUUCCUGUGUAGCGGUGAAAUGCGUAGAUUUUGGAAGGAACACCAGUGGCGAAGGCAACCACCUGGACUGAUACUGACACUGAGGUGCG
rnacentral:rRNA from 1 species